UCUCCGUUGGUGAACCAGCGGAGGGAUCAUUACCGAGUUUACAACUCCCAAACCCAAUGUGAACCAUACCAAACUGUUGCCUCGGCGGGGUCACGCCCCGGGUGCGUCGCAGCCCCGGAACCGGGCGCCCGCCGGAGGGACCAACCAAACUCUUUCUGUAGUCCCCUCGCGGACGUUAUUUUUACAGCUCUGAGCAAAAAUUCAAAAUGAAUCAAAACUUUCAACAACGGACCUCUUGGUUCUG
rnacentral:misc_RNA from 1 species